AGCAGCCUCCCUGAAUCAUCUGACAGGAUGGUGAUGCCACCUGCCAAUGGUGAGAAGGUGGCUGAGGGAGUGAACAAGAAGGGAGCCUCCAGAGCUGCAGGAUGGGGCCUGGCCACCUCCUGUGCUCAGGGUGGAGGGACCCUCAGGGCCCCAUCAGCUGGAGUUUCACCUUCUUUUUCCUCUCCCUGCAAACCUACUGCCUCCCCAAGGGGCAGCUGCUGGUGGGCAAGGGCAAAUACACAAAGAUGCACAUUGACUCUAGUGACCUUCCCAGUCCCGGAGAAGUCAGCUGAGCCUUGCUGUGCCCUUGGAAAUGAAUACUUUGGCUUCAUUUUGCAGGUGCUGACAGGGAACGAUUACGGGUUGGAGAGGAUGCAAACCAGGCCACCCGUGCCCACUGGAGUGGAUAAUGUUCUGAGUCUUGUCUCAAGCAGGCGGUCAUGCUGCCUCUCGGAGGCAGAUGAAGCAUCACCAUCUACUGGCGGCCGAAAGGAUAACGGCAAAAAAAUGCAGCAGGUAAUGAAAUGUAGGAAUGGGCUGUGCUUUUGCUAG
rnacentral:lncRNA from 1 species